AGAGUUUGAUUCUGGCUCAGGAUGAACGCUAGCUACAGGCUUAACACAUGCAAGUCGAGGGGCAGCAUUUUAGUUUGCUUGCAAACUAAAGAUGGCGACCGGCGCACGGGUGAGUAACACGUAUCCAACCUGCCGAUAACUCGGGGAUAGCCUUUCGAAAGAAAGAUUAAUAUCCGAUAGUAUAUUUUCUCCGCAUGGCGAGAAUAUUAAAGAAUUUCGGUUAUCGAUGGGGAUGCGUUCCAUUAGUUUGUUGGCGGGGUAACGGCCCACCAAGACUACGAUGGAUAGGGGUUCUGAGAGGAAGGUCCCCCACAUUGGAACUGAGACACGGUCCAA
rnacentral:rRNA from 1 species